rnacentral:rRNA from 1 species
AGUGGCGAACGGGUGAGUAACACGUGAGAAACCUGCCCUAGAGACCGGGACAACCGUUGGAAACGGCGGCUAAUACCGGAUGCCUUCACAUGGUCGCAUGGCCGAGUGAAGAAAUGCUCAGGUGCUCUAGGAGGGUCUCGCUGCCUAUCAGCUAGUUGGUGAGGUAAUGGCUCACCAAGGCAUCGACGGGUAGCUGGUCUGAGAGGACGAUCAGCCACACUGGGACUGAGACACGGCCCAGACUCCUACGGGAGGCAGCAGUAGGGAAUCUUGCGCAAUGGGGGCAACCCUGACGCAGCAACGCCGCGUGUGGGAUGACGGCUUUCGGGUUGUAAACCACUUUCAGUGAUGACGAAAAUGACGGUAAUCACAGAAGAAGGUCCGGCCAACUACGUGCCAGCAGCCGCGGUAACACGUAGGGACCGAGCGUUGUCCGGAUUUAUUGGGCGUAAAGAGCUCGUAGGCGGUUCUGUAAGUCGGAUGUGAAAACUCAGGGCUCAACCCUGAGACGCCAUCUGAUACUGCAGUGACUAGAGUCCGGUAGAGGAAGAUGGAAUUCCUGGUGUAGCGGUGGAAUGCGCAGAUAUCAGGAGGAACACCAAUGGCGAAGGCAGUCUUCUGGGCCGGUACUGACGCUGAGGAGCGAAAGCAUGGGGAGCAAACAGGAUUAGAUACCCUGGUAGUCCAUGCCGUAAACGUUGGGCACUAAGUGUGGGGUCUUCUAACGGAUUCCGUGCCGUAGCUAACGCAUUAAGUGCCCCGCCUGGGGAG